GGUCUAUUUUUGCUUUUCUGCAACGGGUUUGCCGCCAGAACACAGGUGUCGUGAAAACUACCCCUAAAAGCCAAAAUGGGAAAGGAAAAGACUCAUAUCAACAUUGUCAUCAUUGGACACGUAGAUUCGGGCAAGUCCACCACUACUGGCCAUCUGAUCUACAAAUGUGGUGGCAUCGACAAAAGAACCAUUGAAAAAUUUGAGAAGGAGGCUGCUGAGAUGGGAAAGGGCUCCUUCAAGUAUGCCUGGGUUUUAGAUAAACUGAAAGCUGAGCGGGAACGUGGUAUCACCAUUGAUCUCUCCUUGUGGAAAUUUGAGACCAGCAAGUACUAUGUGACUAUCAUUGAUGCCCCAGGACACAGAGACUUCAUCAAAAACAUGAUUACAGGGACAUCUCAGGCUGGCUGUGCUGUCCUGAUUGUUGCUGCUGAUGAAUUUAAAGCUGGUAUCUCCAAGAAUGGGCAGACCCGAGAGCAUGCUCUGCUGGCUUACACACUGGGUGUGAAACAACUAAUUGUUGUUGUUAACAAAAUGGAUUCCACUGAGCCACCCUACAGCCAGUAGAGAUAUGAGGAAAUUGUUAAGGAAGUCAGCACUUACAUUAAGAAAAUUGGCUACAACCCCGACACAGUAGCAUUUGUGCCAAUUUCUGGUUGGAAUGGUGACAACAUGCUGGAGCCAAGUGCUAACAUGUCUUGGUUCAAGGGAUGGAAGGUCACCCGUAAGGAUGGCAAUGCCAGUUGAACCACGCUGCCUGAGGCUCUGGACUGCAUCCUACCACCAACUUGUCCAACUGACAAGCCCUUAAGCCUGCCUCUCCAGGAUGUCUACAAAAUUGGUGGUAUUGGUACUGUUCCUGUUGGCUGUGACUGGUGUUCUCAAACCCAGUAUGGUGGUCACCUUUGCUGCAGUCAGUGUUACAACUGAAGUAAAAUCUGUCGAAAUGCACCAUGAAGCUUUGAGUGAAGCUCUUCCUGGCGACAAUGUGGGCUUCAAUGUCAAGAGUGUGUCUGUCAAGGAUGUUCAUCGUGGCAACGUUGCUGGUGACAGCAAAAAUAUAUAACUGUACCCACCAAUGAAGCAGGCUGGCUCAUCUGCUCAGGUGAUUAUCCUUGAACCCAUCCAGCCCAAAUUAGUGCCCUGGCUCGCCCCUGUAGUGAUUUGCCACACGGUUCACAUUGGCAUGCAAGUUUGCUGAGCUGAAGGAAAACAUUGAUCGCCGUCCGGUAAAAAACGGGAAGAAUGGCCCUAAAUUCUUGAAGUCUGGUGAUGCUGGCCCAUUGUUGAUAUGGUUCCGUGCAAGCCCAUGGUUGAGGAGCUCUCCAACUAUUCUACCCUUUGGUAG